GGCUGUUUGGCAUAGUGGUUUGAGUGCUGGAUGAUGACUGGAGACUAGGGUUCGAAUUCCCACUCAGCCA